GUUUGUAUACAUCCAUUGUUUGUUGUCAUGCAGUGUUUGUUUACAUCCAGUGUUUGUUGUCAUACUGUGUUUGUAUACAUCCAGUGUUUGUUGUCAUACAGUGUUUGUAUACAUCCAUUUGUUUGUUGUCAUACUGUGUUUGUUUACAUCCAGUGUUUGUUGUCAUACACUGAAUACCAAAGGGACCCAGAAAGAAACACUUGAAGAUAUGACUGCGUACGGUUUAUUGACGGUGAAUCCACAGACGUCUUGAUGUUUCAUACGGAACUCAAGAUGUUCUUCAGUUGUGUACCAACCCAUGAAUAUUGGAACGAAUGAAA